CUUCAACGACCCCAACCACAACGGCUCGCCGACGCGGUCCUGCCCGUACGUGGCCAGCAGAGCGUUCGCCUC
rnacentral:antisense_RNA from 1 species